rnacentral:rRNA from 1 species
CCUACGGGGGGCUGCAGUGGGGAAUAUUGGACAAUGGGGGAAACCCUGAUCCAGCAAUGCCGCGUGUGUGAAGAAGGCCUGCGGGUUGUAAAGCACUUUCGGUUGGGAAGAAAAGUUUGGCGCCAAUACCGCCGAACCUUGACGUUACUGACAGAAGAAGCACCGGCUAACUCUGUGCCAGCAGCCGCGGUAAUACAGAGGGUGCAAGGGGGCAUAGGAAUUGCGGGGCGUGUCGUGCGAGUAGGGUGUGAAAUCCCCGGGCUUAACCUGGGAACUGCAUUCGAUACUACAUGGCUAGAGUAUGGUAGAGGGAAGUGGAAUUUCCGGUGUAGCGGUGAAAUGCGUAGAUAUCGGAAGGAACACCAAUGGCGAAGGCAGCUUCCUGGACUAAUACUGACACUGAGGCACGAAAGCGUGGGUAGCAAACAGGAUUAGAUACCCGUGUAGUC